AUCCCAGGGUGAGGGCACCUUCUCAAUAAGUCGUUAUACCUCUCCCAUGCAUCAUAUAUGGUUUCUUAGUCAAUUUGAAUGAAGGAAGAGAUAUCAUUCCUCAACUU
rnacentral:snoRNA from 1 species